AUUGAACGCUGGCGGCAGGCCUAACACAUGCAAGUCGAGCGGAUGAAGGGAGCUUGCUCCUGGAUUCAGCGGCGGACGGGUGGGUAAUGCCUAGGAAUCUGCCUGGUAGUGGGGGAUAACGUCCGGAAACGGGCGCUAAUACCGCAUACGUCCUGAGGGAGAAAGUGGGGGAUCUUCGGACCUCACGCUAUCAGAUGAGCCUAGGUCGGAUUAGCUAGUUGGUGGGGUAAAGGCCUACCAAGGCGACGAUCCGUAACUGGUCUGAGAGGAUGAUCAGUCACACUGGAACUGAGACAAGGUCCAGACUCCUACGGGAGGCAGCAGUGGGGAAUAUUGGACAAUGGGCGAAAGCCUGAUCCAGCCAUGCCGCGUGUGUGAAGAAGGUCUUCGGAUUGUAAAGCACUUUAAGUUGGGAGGAAGGGCAGUAAGUUAAUACCUUGCUGUUUUGACGUUACCAACAGAAUAAGCACCGGCUAACUUCGUG
rnacentral:rRNA from 1 species